rnacentral:lncRNA from 1 species
AUGGCGACCUUUGUGAGUGAGCUGGAGGUGGCCAAGAAGAACUUCAGUGAGGCCCUGGGGGACAACGUGAAUCAAUACUGGGCUAACUUAAGCUGUGGUUCAAGCGGAAGAUCAGGAAAGAGGACUUUGACCUUGAAACUCAUAGGUUUCUUACAUAGGAUAAUAUGCAUCCUCACAAUGAUUUCCUCCUGGCCAUUCUCACGCAUUGUCAGAUUUUGGUUUCUACAUCAGAGGGUGCUGGAUCUUUGCCCUGGAUGGGGGGUUCUGCAGCAAAACCUGGAAAGCCCAAUGGAAAGAAAAAGCUUUCUUCUGUCAGAAAUUUGAUCAUAGAUUUCAGCCUCACAGUCCUUUCUCAAGAGCCCAGUAAUUUGUGGCAAAAGAUCCCCAAGAUGAUGAUGAUUUGAAACUUUGUUCCCACACCAUGAUGCUUCUCAUUCAAGGCUGGCUUGAAGGGAGAAUGACAGUGACUGCUUAUGAGCAUGGGCUGGACAAUGUCACCGAGGAGGCUAUUUCAGCUCUUGUCUAUGCUGUGGAGAAUCAUCCUAAAGAUAUACUGACAUCAGUUGUGUCAAGAAGGAAAGCUUAUCGGUUACGAGAUGACCAUUUUAAAUAUGCCUUUGGCAGUAAUUUGACCCCACAGCCAUACCUGAAGAAUAAUGUAGUAGCUUAGAACAACUUAAUAUAAAGCCCUCAAGCUUUUACUGCUCCCUGUGCUGGUCAGAAUCCGGCUUCUCACCCACCUCCUGAUGAAGCCGAGCAGCAGGCUGCAUUCCUUCUGGCAUGCUCUGGAGACACUCUAUCUGCAUCUUUAUCUGCAGCGAACAUGUAUGAACUUUUUGAAGCUCUGCGGGUACACAGGGAAGUCAUACCUACACAUACUGUCUAUGCCGUUAACAUUGAAAGGAUUAUCAUGAAAGUCUGGCAUCCAAAUCAUGAAGAGCUGAAGACAAAGUUCACCACCAGUGCUUGGCAACCAAGGAGGGGCUUUUGCUGUGC